CCUCUCCCCUCACCUCAGGCACCCCAACAGCAGGGCUAUCCUCCCCCCUGCCUGCCUACAACCACCAGAGCCAAGACCACACUACCAUCAGCCAGACAGGCUGGCUCUGUUAGAGGUAUGGGUUACUGAGCUGAAGGAGCAGCCCCCCCAGCUACACCACCUCCAGACUGCUGAGAGACAGGCUGGCUCUGUUAGAGGUAUGGGUUACUGAGCUGAAGGAGCAGCCCCCCAGCUACACCACCACCAGCCCAGACACAGAGCUUCUACAGGACCAGAUCAACCAGUGCAGGACCCAGCUGAAGAACUCUGUCCAGGAGCUGAGAGAGAGCCUUACCACAGCUCUUGAGGAGGUGAAGGCCACCAUGAGGAGAGAGCCUUACCACAGCUCUUGAGGAGGUAAAGGCCACCACGAGGAGAGAGCCUUACCACAGCUCUUGAGGAGGUAAAGGUCACCAUGAGGAGAGAGCCUUACCACAGCUCUUGAGGAGGUAAAGGUCACCAUGAGGAGAGAGCCUUACCACAGCUCUGGAGGAGGUAAAGGCCACCAUGAGGAGAGAGCCUUACCACAGCUCUUGAGGAGGUAAAGGCCACCAUGAGGAGAGAGCCUUACCACAGCUCUUGAGGAGGUAAAGGCCACCAUGAGGAGAGAGCCUUACCACAGCUCUGGAGGAGGUAAAGGCCACCAUGAGGAGAGAGCCUUACCACAGCUCUUGAGGAGGUAAAGGUCACCAUGAGGAGAGAGCCUUACCACAGCUCUUGAGGAGGUAAAGGCCACCAUGAGGAGAGAGCCUUACCACAACGCUUGAGGUGGUAAAGGUCACCAUGAGGAGAGAGCUAGUGCAGGUAAAGGAGGAGAUGGCAAAGGAGUUGUCUGUCAUCAAGAGGGUGCUACAGCACAGAGAACAGACUGUAGAGACUCCCAGAGAGAAGCUGCAGCCCCUCACCACCCCUAACAACCCCACUGACUCACCUUUACCCACAAUCCCCCCCCCCAUACCGACAACACUUUACCCACACCCCCAGUCAACAAGGAGGCUCACAUGGAGACACCUACUACAGAGAUAAGCUCUCUGCCCCCCCUGACACACCCCCACACACCCCCUCCAUGUACACCACCCCUAACAACCCC
rnacentral:lncRNA from 1 species